UCAGUAACACGUAGUCAACAUGCCCAGGGGACGUGGAUAACCUCGGGAAACUGAGGAUAAACCGCGAUAGGUCACUACUUCUGGAAUGGGUAAUGACCCAAACCUAUAUGGCCCCUGGAUUGGACUGCGGCCGAUCAGGCUGUUGGUGAGGUAAUGGCCACCAAACCUGUAACCGGUACGGGCUCUGAGAGGAGGAGCCCGGAGAUGGGCACUGAGACAAGGGCCCAGGCCCUAUGGGGCGCAGCAGGCGCGAAACCUCUGCAAUAGGCGAAAGCUUGACAGGGUUACUCUGAGUGAUUUCCGGUUAAGGAGAUCUUUUGGCACCUCUAAAAAUGGUGCAGAAUAAGGGGUGGGCAAGUCUG
rnacentral:rRNA from 1 species